AGUGAACGCUGGCGGUAGGCCUAACACAUGCAAGUCGAACGGCAGCACAGUAAGAGCUUGCUCUUACGGGUGGCGAGUGGCGGACGGGUGAGGAAUACAUCGGAAUCUACUUUUUCGUGGGGGAUAACGUAGGGAAACUUACGCUAAUACCGCAUACGACCUACGGGUGAAAGCAGGGGAUCUUCGGACCUUGCGCGAUUGAAUGAGCCGAUGUCGGAUUAGCUAGUUGGCGGGGUAAAGGCCCGCCAAGGCGACGAUCCGUAGCUGGUCUGAGAGGAUGAUCAGCCACACUGGAACUGAGACACGGUCCAGACUCCUACGGGAGGCAGCAGUGGGGAAUAUUGGACAAUGGGCGCAAGCCUGGUCCAGCCAUACCGCGUGGGUGAAGAAGGCCUUCGGGUUGUAAAGCCCUUUUGUUGGGAAAGAAAAGCAGCAGGUUAAUACCCCGCUGUUCUGACGGUACCCAAAGAAUAAGCACCGGCUAACUUCGUG
rnacentral:rRNA from 1 species